CUGCUGGUGUAUCAGGCUUGUUAUCCACCAACAAGUAUCCAAACGGUCUUUCAGUCUCUUUGUAAUAGGCGUUCAUAAAGUGGACUCUAUUCUUAUCAAACAUUCGUUCUCCAACAAUUCCAAUUUGUUUCCUAUCACUAGGACUUCGGAAGAGAGCAAGAUAUUGGGCAUUUCGGCUAAUAUCUGUAUUGAAUUUCCCCUUAGGAAACAUAUUCUGAAGCAAAAGGAUAACACUAGCGUUUCUAUGACGUCCCUGGGUAAAUAAUCGAGCUACCACAGGACUGUCUGUCGCUUCGGCCAUCAAAUCAUCCAGUAUGAUUACGUUGUUGUAACGGGUAUUAAUCUCACUCAGAUCCUCGGACAACUCGGGCAAACCUCUUUGAAAUCGGAUGCUUUUCCCAAGGGACUUUUUUAACUCAUCGUAACGAUCUUGCCAUUGAUUGUAGCACCAAUGAAUGCGAAUACUUCUCUGCUCCUCGUACACGAUACGAUUGUUUUCCAAUAUUUGUUGGACAAAAUAAGUUUUCCCACUUUGGCUCGGACCCACGACCAUUAGCGAAAAUUUAUGGCGGAAGUUGAAUUCUGGAUAGGGUUUGGUGGUCAAAGAUGAUGUAACUUUCGGUACGGUUUUUGUUGGUUUUAGUACAGACCUUGUUUUCUUUCGAACACAUUUCAUUUCUUUUAGUAUAUGUGCCGGUCGUAUGGGCAGCAAAUUUGAGUUGUGGCUAUGCGGUGCUGAGAACCUCGCCCUUCCUAACCACUUUUUCCUUUGAUCUCCGUAUAAGUUAUGUACUUGGCGCAAAUGAUCACUUAUAUAUAGAAGGCAAGGCUUGUUACAGAGAGGACAGUCUCUUUUGUGCUUAUAGGGCAUGUUGACACUUUGAAAGUUCAAUCAUAAAUGACCGAGAAUAAAUGGUUUGAAAACAUUUAUAUAUAUAUUUUUUACGGCGACAUGUGGGUGUGACGUAGGGUCGAUGUAGGGUCGAUGUAGGGUCGAUGUAGGGUCGAUGUGGGGUCGAUGUGGGGUCGAUGUAGGGUCGAUGUAGGGUCGAUGUAGGGUCGAUGUAGGGUCGAUGUAGGGUCGAUGUGGGGUCGAUGUGGGGUCGAUGUAGGGUCGAUGUAGGUUCGAUGUAGGGCCAGGAGUAUAGGAGUUAGGAGCCAUCCAACAAAUAUUGGAAAACAAUCGUAUCGUGUACGAGGAGCAGAGAAGUAUUCGCAUUCAUUGGUGCUACAAUCAAUGGCAAGAUCGUUACGAUGAGUUAAAAAAGUCCCUUGGGAAAAGCAUCCGAUUUCAAAGAGGUUUGCCCGAGUUGUCCGAGGAUCUGAGUGAGAUUAAUACCCGGUACAACAACGUAAUCAUACUGGAUGAUUUGAUGGCCGAAGCGACAGACAGUCCUGUGGUAGCUCGAUUAUUUACCCAGGGACGUCAUAGAAACGCUAGUGUUAUCCUUUUGCUUCAGAAC